AACAAGACUGGCUAUUUGACUGGAUCCCCCAAUUGGUUUACUCCAAGAUUCCUCUUCAUUGGCUUAAGAAGAUACAAGACAGGAGUCUCCAAUCCUUAGACCAUGGACCAAUAUCAACCAUGGCCAGUUAGCAACCCGGUAACAAAGCAGGAGGAAUAUGUUUAAUACUGUUCAAAAGAAGAGAAGGAAAGAAAAGCAAAAAGAACAGAGGAAAAGAAACCCAGAGGCAAGGAAUAAAAAAGUCCUAUACAAAAAGACUCCACCACAAAGAAGAUUGAGAGGCACAAGGAAAAUCAGCCCUGAGAAGUAAAUACUGUUGCUGUCAUCCCUAUUUUACAAAUGAGGAAACAAAAAUAGAGAAAUGAAGCAAUUUGUCCAAGAUCACUCUGCUGGCAAGCAACAGAACCAGGAGUUUAACCCAGAUCAUAGCAGAGAACAAACAAGGAGGAGGAAGAACAGGAGGAGGAGGGGGAAAAGAGGAGGAAGAAGAAAGAAAGAUUAAAGAAGAAGAAAGAAGGAAGGAGGAGGGGAGAAAAAGAAAAUAAUAAUAAUGAUAGUCUCAAUUUUAGACUAUUAUGUACCAUAUUAAGGACUUAACAUUCACUCCCUCACUCAUACAUUUUUUCAAGUUGCCGUUCUGCGGAAAACACUCUGCACAGUGGGACUAUGGGGGCACAUGGUCAGCCAAGCACCAUUCCAUAAAGGGACUAAGUGACAGAACAGACUGGAUGUGAGAUGGCAACUGUACUUCAGGUAAAUGUGCUGUUAACCCCAUAGCAUAGACACCUCUGGACUUCUGAAACAGAAUCCUGUGACCACCGUGGAUGAAACAUAGACUCUCAUUAAGCUGCAGUUCCAAUGCCUGAGUAGCGUGAAUUGCUUCUAUGAUAAGGCAUUAUUUAGCCUUUGCCUGAAACAGCCCUAAUGAGAAGGAUCUCGCCACCUCAUGGCAUGGUCCAGUUCAUUUUCAGAAGCUUUCUUUGUAAUCUGUGCUUAUAAAAUUGUUAACAGGGGAUAGCUAAU
rnacentral:lncRNA from 10 species